AUGAUGAGGAUACGAUAUCCUUUUACCAUGUAUGGAAUAGGGGAUGGGUUUUCAAUGGAUACCGAUGAUAUCCAUCGCAAAAAGAGAUUCACCGAGAGGAUCUCAAAGCUUGAAGAGGAGGAAAAAAAUCAGGCUGAGACCAGGAAGAGAAGAUUUUUUACAGAAAUUCUUAAUGCUGCUAGGGAAUAUCAAGUGCAAACAUCGGCUACUUACAAACGAAGAAAGCAACGUAAUGAUGGAGUUCAGGCAUGGCAUGUCCGGGCGCGCCAGCGUAUCAAUCGACUUGAAAAAAGUAGGUUGCAAGUUUUGAAAGCAGGUGAUCAAGAAGCGUAUAUGCGGAUGGUUGAGGAGAGCAAGAAUGAACGGCUUACGAUGCUCCUUGAUAAGACAAAUGAGCUUCUAGAAGGAAUUGGGAAAGCUGUACAGCGACAAAAAGAUGCUGAGCAUGUUAGUCGUCCUGAAGGGUCUGAAGACUCAGAAUCUGAUGAAUCCCCUGAGGAGUCUCCUUCAGAUGAUGAUGCAGAUACACACGGUUCUGCAAAUACUAGUAAAUUUAAUGCUGCUGGCCGUAGGCUUGAUUCUACUGUCCAUUCCAUCGAAGAGAAGGUAACAGAACAACCGUCAGCCCUUGUAGGUGGGGAGUUGAGACCAUAUCAGUUAGAGGGUCUCCAAUGGAUGCUUUCUUUAUUCAACAACAAUUUGAAUGGCAUUCUGGCUGAUGAAAUGGGUUUGGGGAAAACAAUUCAGACCAUAGCUUUGAUCGCUUAUCUUUUGGAAAAGAAGGAGGUCACAGGACCUCACUUAAUAGUAGCUCCCAAAGCAGUACUACCAAACUGGUCUAAUGAGUUCAAAACAUGGGCUCCCAGUAUUGGUACAAUUCUGUAUGAUGGUCGUCCAGAUGAGAGGAAAUCUCUCAGGGAAACAAAUUUUGGAGGACAAUUUAAUGUUCUGCUCACACACUAUGAUUUGAUACUGAAAGAUAAGAAGUUCCUGAAGAAGGUUCACUGGCACUAUUUGAUAGUUGAUGAAGGACAUCGCUUGAAAAAUCAUGAAUGUGCUCUUGCUCGCACACUAGUUUCCGGAUAUUUGAUCCGCCGCAGACUACUUUUGACUGGCACUCCAAUCCAAAAUAGCCUACAGGAGCUGUGGUCAUUGCUCAACUUUAUUCUGCCAAAUAUUUUUAAUUCAUCUGGGAAUUUUGAGGAAUGGUUUAAUGCACCGUUUGCAUGUGAUGUUAGCAUUAAUGAUGAGGAAGAACUAUUGAUCAUACAUCGUUUGCAUCAAGUUUUGCGUCCAUUUUUGCUCCGUAGGAAAAAAGAUGAAGUGGAAAAGUAUCUCCCUUCAAAAACACAAGUAAUACUGAAGUGUGACUUUUCAGCUUGGCAAAAAGCAUACUACGAGCAAGUCGCAAGCAAGGGAAAGGUUGCCCUAGGAUCUGGACUCAAACCAAAGGCUGUGGCAAACCUAUCGAUGCAGCUUAGGAAGUGCUGCAAUCAUCCUUACUUAUUUGUAGAGCAAUAUAACAUGUAUCAGCGCGAGGAGAUUGUUAGAGCAUCAGGGAAGUUUGAAUUGCUCGAUCGGCUACUUCCAAAACUGCAUAGGGCUGGUCACAGGGUUCUGCUUUUUUCUCAGAUGACAAGAUUGCUUAAUAUUUUGGAAGUAUAUUUGCAGAUGUACAAUUUCAAGUAUAUGAGGCUUGAUGGAUCAACGAAAACUGAAGAACGAGGGAAAUUAUUGGCAGAUUUUAAUAAGAAGGACUCAGAGUACUUCAUUUUUCUUCUCAGCACACGAGCUGGAGGCCUUGGAUUGAACUUGCAGACUGCAGAUACAGUUAUUAUUUUUGAUAGUGAUUGGAAUCCUCAGAUGGAUCAGCAAGCUGAAGACCGUGCUCAUCGUAUAGGACAGAAAAAUGAAGUGCGUGUAUUUGUUCUUGUUAGUGUUGGAUCAAUUGAAGAAGAGAUCUUGGAUCGUGCAAAACAGAAGAUGGGUAUUGAUGCAAAAGUUAUCCAGGCUGGGUUGUUCAACAACACCUCCACAGCUCAGGAUAGGAAAGCGUUGCUACAGGAGAUCUUGAAGAGAGGAACUAGUACACUUGGAACUGACAUCCCUAGUGAGCGUGAAAUAAAUCGUUUGGCUGCUCGAACUGAGGAAGAGUUCUGGUUAUUUGAGAAGAUGGAUGAAGAGAGGCGACGACGAGAAAACUAUAAAUCCAGGCUGAUGCAGGGACCUGAGGUUCCAGAAUGGGUUUUUGAUAUCAGUGAAACCUUAGCUGAGAAGCUCCUUGCGGAAGAAGCCAAAAAUCCUGUGAUAAACACAAAGAGGCGAAGAAAGGAGGUUGUCUAUUCGGACUCUUAUGUUGAUCAAUGGAUGAAAUCUGACGAGGUAUACGAAGACAUCCCAAAGAUGACUCCAAGAGCAAAACGGAGUGCUUAUUUAUCCGAUAUACAGGAGGUUGAUUUACAUGAUAGGGCAAAAAGGCUCAAAUAUUCUGACAGCGCCGAUGGCGCAGGCAACUCAACCUGGACACCAGAGAAAGGAAGAGCUGGAGUUUCUUCCUACAGCAAGGAUGAGAACGAAGACGACAAUGACGAAGAUGAAGUCACCGCCGGUGGUUUGCAGCAGGGUGGUAGCUUCACCUGGAAUACCCUCAGGAGGAAAAGGUCAAGCCACUCCACUAAUCCGUCGUCGGACCCUAAAGGGCGCUCGGCAUUUUAA
rnacentral:rRNA from 1 species